rnacentral:snRNA from 1 species
GUACUUGCUUCUAGCAGCACAUACACUAAAAUAGGAACGAUACAGAAAAGAUUAAUAAAGAUGACAUACAAAUUCGUAAAGAGUUCCAUUUAAAA